ACGCACGCCCUCGGGAAGCGACGAGUCCGGGACGCCCAGCGCGGGCCCGGAGCAGGGGGAAGGGAAGUGCGGCUCGGUCGGCGCGGGUGGAGGGGGCGUGAGGCCGCCCUACGGUGGCCGUCGAGGGACGGCGCUACGGCUCCCACGCUAGGCCAAACGCCUCCGGCGGCCGCGCCCGAGAGCCCCUUCACCUGCAGGGCGACCCCAGCCGGCGACGCGUGAACCACGCCCUCAGCCGCCUUGCCAGCGCCCCCAGCCGCGCGCCCCAGCACCAUGCGGCCGCCCUGCGCACGGAGCCCCGAGGGACAGGGGCACCCGCAGGCCCGGCCCCUAGCACCGCCGGCCGGCCCCGAGGUCCGGGACGCCGGCGCCGCCGCGGAGAGGGCACCGGGCCGACGCCUCCCCCCAGGGUCAGCUGCGGGCUCCCAGGCCUAGGCGCCCAUGACCCCUACGCCAACAGCCGCCUGGACACCGCCGCCGCCACUGCGACCUAGCGCCGCCGCCGCCGGGGCCCAAUGCCGGUCAUGCCCAUUCCGCGGCGGGUGCGCUCCUUCCACGGCCCGCACACCACCUGCCUGCAUGCGGCCUGCGGGCCCGUGCGCGCCUCCCACCUGGCCCGCACCAAGUACAACAACUUCGACGUGUACAUCAAGACGCGCUGGCUGUACGGCUUCAUCCGCUUCCUACUCUACUUUAGCUGCAGCCUGUUCACUGCGGCGCUCUGGGGUGCGCUGGCCGCCCUCUUCUGCCUACAGUACCUGGGCGUUCGCGUCCUGCUGCGCUUCCAGCGCAAGCUGUCGGUGCUGCUGCUGCUGCUGGGCCGCCGGCGCGUGGACUUCCGCCUGGUGAACGAGCUGCUCGUCUAUGGCAUCCACGUCACCAUGCUGCUGGUCGGGGGCCUGGGCUGGUGCUUCAUGGUCUUCGUGGACAUGUGAGGGCCGUGGGUGCGAGCUUGAUGUAUCGUCCCGGCCUGUGGCUGUGUUCUCUCCAUGGGUGGGGUCGGCCAGCGCCUUCCCUUCGCCCAUCCCCCAGGCAGUCGCUGCUGCCCGGCGCCCACGGAGAGAAAAGAAAGGGCUGAGACUUCUGUGAUGGGGGCGCGGACACCACCCCUAGGCUGGCUUCCUGGACCCACCCUCCCCGUAUGCACUCUCAGGGGCAGCGCCCACCUGCCGGUGGCUCCUGCUCACAUGUCUUCGGGUCGUACUGCGGGGUGGGCCCUCCGUUCCGCCUCUCUGUGGGCCUCUCUCCAGGACCACAGCUGCCAGGGACUUUAGACAUCACCCUGGGAGGCCCCUGGACACAGAGGGCUGUGUGCCCAGGAGCAAUUCCGGAGGGGGGCCCUCCUGGCUGCACAGCCCCUUCUGCGUGCCCUGGCCCCAGCCCCAGCCAACGGGACACGGAAGGCUCCCCUCGCUGACACACCACACUGCCACAAAGCUGCUUACUCUGCCCUGGGCCGCCUGAGGCCUGGCACUGCCCGCGGACCACCCUGUGUGUGUCAUCCUGAGGGGCUGUGUGGGUCCUGAGUCCCCAGCCAGCCUUCAGGGUCCCCUUGGAUUGUGUAGAUGCAGUCUAGCGGGGGGCCGGAGAAGGGCUCAGGUGGGAGGGGCCUCAGCAGGCUCCCAGCUCAGGGGCUGGCCUGGGGGGAACCCUGGGAGCCAGGGGCUGACUCCAGCAACACUGGCCUGUCUGCCUGUUCUGGGAGGGCUGUGAGGAUGUCUUGCAGAUGCUCUGGAUUUCUGCGGAGGCACCUCCAUUCCUUUCUGGCUUUUUUUGCGGGGGAGGGCUUUGGGCCUCUUUCUUUGAGGGAACACCGUCAAAGAAAGCCUGGGAGAUCGAGGCUUCAGUGAGCCAGGAUGGAAACGCGUGUCCCAAGUGUCCGGAGCAGGCGGCAGAGGCCUCAGUGCGGCAAACACAGCCCCAGAGCCUGUGUGGCACCAGCAGCAUCUUAGAGCCCCAGGUUCUGUUUUCAAAGUUGUUCUCCCCUUGAGGUCCCAGAUGACCGGCUGAGCUGUGCAAGGGCCACGGCUCCAAGGAAGGCCGGAGCUACUUGGAGGUUGUCCCCAGGCCCUUUGUCCACAGUGACAGACACCCAGACCAGACCAUGCUGCAGUGACUGCCACCAUCGUGUCAGCAGCACGUUGACCAUGGCUCACGACAUGGGGACGGGCAUUCUUGCCGCUUCCUCAGAAUAUUAACGACGGUCCCAGCAGAAUGCUGUAUGAAUAUUCAUAUGGAGCUCAAUCAAGCCUGGGCUGGCGGAUGGCACAGGGAGAGGCGCCGUGACAGGCUGGGCCCGGGUCCCAGUGGGCACACCUUGGCAGGGUGUGGCCGUAAGUCUCCGCCAGCUCCAGCCAGGAUCUGCCUCCCUCGGGAUGGGACAGGCCUGGGCCUGUUGUAUGGCCACAGGCAGAAGAGGCCGAUGAGUGACAUGACAUCACCACUUAGUGACUGCCCUCGUCCUGGGAGCCCAGAUGCUGGGGCGGGGCUCCUUCCUGAAAGACCCAGAGAAGUUCAUCUCAGGUUUAAUGGGGGCACUGCUGCCUCAGAAGCCAGGCAGUGGGUGGUGAGGUCCCUGUCCUCACUGGGGUCUGCAGCCGAGGAGGACUGGCCACCGAGGCCCAGGCCAGGCACAGGGAUGCUGGGUGGCCAUGGCCAGUCCUCCCGGGAGCCCCUAGCACCUUGGGCCUGCCCCCAGCUCUCACGCCGGGAGAGGUUUUUUCCCACUCCGGUGGCCGACGCCCUGGUGAAGGGAUUCGCAGAACGGGAGCACAUGGAUUUCCAGUUCUUCCCAGCGGGCGCACGUAGGCCGGCACCCUCUCUCUCGUCUUUGGGCAGAACUCGAGUGCUGCUAGACCCUUGGCCCCGCUCACUGCGCUGGGCCGCACUGCACCCAUUUCCUCCCAGCAAGGGCGGUCCCUGGACUCCUCUGACCUGAACUGCUUCCGAGUUUGCUUCUCAGAACCAAGAGGGGCUGGCUCUGCGCCCUGCCUACCUGUCCAGGGGUGGGGGCUGCCCUUUGAAGCUAUCAAUCUGGGUUUUAAGUGUGGAUUCAUUAUUGACAACACCAUGACGUUAUGCUGACAUGAAUUAUUUGUAUGUUUUUCAAAUUGUGCUGUGAUAACCCUGGCUGUCUUCCUGCUCCCAUAGUGGAUAAAAGCGUCCGAAAGAA